AAAAAUUCUAGAAAAAGUUUCACCUAGUUAGGGUUUUACAAGGAGAUCGGAGAUGGAAGUGGAGGUAUGUUGAUGGCGGCCAAGAGCAAGCAGGAGCUGGGGUUGGAGGGGCAGAGGCACCUCGAAGAGACUAUCAAUGCUGCGUUUCAAAUCCUUUCCUCCAUGAACGAUGAGCUCUGCAACCCCGCCCUCUGGUCUGCGAACUCUAACGGCCACUCUACCGCCGCAUUGGAUGGUACUGGAGACGCAUCGGUCGAUUCCUCAUCGCACUCGUCAGAAGGAGCUGGAGGCGGAAGCGGCGGUGGUGCCCUUGACGAGGCACGGCUGCGUUACAGGUCUGCUGUCGCUUCCCUUCGUGCUUGUAUCGCUGCUAUUCCCAGCUCCACCCAGGAGGCAAGUGUGUUAGAUGUGAAAAUGGAUGAAGAUGAAAUUGAGAGAUUGGAAGAGCAGGCCUCUUCUCUGAGAAAGGAGCUAGAAAGCAAGAACAAGCAUCUCAAGUUACUUAUCGAUCAGCUCAGAUAUCUGAUCACUGAUAUAGCAAUGUGGCAGAGUCCUUGUUCUGCCUAAUAUCCGUUCUCUUUCCAUGAGUUCAACCUUGGAAGGUGUUACAUUUAUUGCAAACUAUUCUGUGUCUACAUUAAAGAACGAAAACAAAAUAAAAAGGAAAAUACAGCUUGGCUUCCAACAUUGUCACUCUAAUUGCUAAGUAGUAGGAUGAUCGAAGAUUUAGCUAUUGUUACACGUGAUGGAGGGUUUUGUACACCCCCUCAGGUUUACUGGCGAUUGGAGUAAAGAUUGAGUGGUGGUGAGGAGUUCACACAAGCUCUGCUCUUGUACUAGGAUUUGAUGUGAUGUGCCUCGAUAAGGAGGGGUAAAGUCUUGACUGUUGUGGGUGAUAAAGGAGUUGUAUUAAUGUUAUGCCCUUUUAUUCUCGUGCCUCCGCUUCUUUUCUUGUCUUCUACUGUUUUUUCGGAGGCAAAUCUUCUCUCUUUCUACAAUAUUUUAUUAAACCGUGUAUAUAGAUUUUUUGUAUUAUCCAUUUUCCGUACCUAAGUUUCAUAAUUUCAAAAACACGUAGCACAUUCUCAGUA